rnacentral:rRNA from 1 species
GACGAACGCUGGCGGCGUGCCUAAUACAUGCAAGUUGAGCGCUGAAGGUUGGUACUUGUACCGACUGGAUGAGCAGCGAACGGGUGAGUAACGCGUGGGGAAUCUGCCUUUGAGCGGGGGACAACAUUUGGAAACGAAUGCUAAUACCGCAUAAAAACUUUAAACACAAGUUUUAAGUUUGAAAGAUGCAAUUGCAUCACUCAAAGAUGAUCCCGCGUUGUAUUAGCUAGUUGGUGAGGUAAAGGCUCACCAAGGCGAUGAUACAUAGCCGACCUGAGAGGGUGAUCGGCCACAUUGGGACUGGGACACGGCCCAAACUCCUUCGGGAGGCAGCAGUAGGGAAACUUCGGCAAUGGACGAAAGUCUGACCGAGCAACGCCGCGUGAGUGAAGAAGGUUUUCGGAUCGUAAAACUCUGUUGGUAGGGAAGAACGUUGGUGAGAGUGGAAAGCUCAUCAAGUGACGGUAACUACCCAGAAAGGGACGGCUAACUACGUG